rnacentral:lncRNA from 1 species
AAAAGAAUGGCUUCAGUGUGUGUAACAUUCAGAUCAUUGAUAUAAAAUCUCACUGAAAUCCGCUAAGAUAAGGUAUAUUAUCAUCAUAAGCCACUAUUAGACAAAAAAUUAACAGAAAAUAAUUAUCAUUGAUAUUGGAAAAUUGUGUGCUCAGACAGCCAAGGGGUUGUAAUCAGAUUCUGGGUGAAGAUUCCCAGAUCAGAAACUCUAGUCCACAUAAGUAUCAUCACCGCACA